CAGGCCUAACACAUGCAAGUCGAGCGGGGAAGGGUAGCUUGCUACAUUACCUAGCGGCGGACGGGUGAGUAAUGCUUAGGAAUCUGCCUAUUAGUGGGGGACAACAUUCCGAAAGGAAUGCUAAUACCGCAUACGCCCUACGGGGGAAAGCAGGGGAUCUUCGGACCUUGCGCUAAUAGAUGAGCCUAAGUCAGAUUAGCUAGUUGGUGGGGUAAAGGCCUACCAAGGCGACGAUCUGUAGCGGGUCUGAGAGGAUGAUCCGCCACACUGGGACUGAGACACGGCCCAGACUCCUACGGGAGGCAGCAGUGGGGAAUAUUGGACAAUGGGCGAAAGCCUGAUCCAGCCAUGCCGCGUGUGUGAAGAAGGCCUUUUGGUUGUAAAGCACUUUAAGCGAGGAGGAGGCUACUUAGAUUAAUACUCUAGGAUAGUGGACGUUACUCGCAGAAUAAGCACCGGCUAACUCUGUGCCAGCAGCCGCGGUAAU
rnacentral:rRNA from 1 species